rnacentral:tRNA from 1 species
AGGGAAUUCGCCAAGCGGCAAAGGCAUUUGGUUUACACCCAAACACUCAGGGGUUCGAGUCCCUUAUUCCCUA